rnacentral:rRNA from 1 species
GAUGAACGCUGGCGGCGUGCUUAACACAUGCAAGUCGAACGGUGAAGGCGGAGCUUGCUCUGCUGGAUCAGUGGCGAACGGGUGAGUAACACGUGAGCAAUCUGCCCCUGACUCUGGGAUAAGCGCUGGAAACGGCGUCUAAUACUGGAUACGAGCUGCGAAGGCAUCUUCAGCAGCUGGAAAGAAUUUCGGUCAGGGAUGAGCUCGCGGCCUAUCAGCUUGUUGGUGAGGUAAUGGCUCACCAAGGCGUCGACGGGUAGCCGGCCUGAGAGGGUGACCGGCCACACUGGGACUGAGACACGGCCCAGACUCAUACGGGAGGCAGCAGUGGGGAAUAUUGCACAAUGGGCGAAAGCCUGAUGCAGCAACGCCGCGUGAGGGACGACGGCCUUCGGGUUGUAAACCUCUUUUAGCAGGGAAGAAGCGAAAGUGACGGUACCUGCAGAAAAAGCGCCGGCUAACUACGUG